AGAAAUGGCGAUGAGUUAGCACUCUCUACAUCGCCCUCUCAAGGCGACACUCACGGGUUCGAACCCCGUACGGGCUACCA
rnacentral:tRNA from 1 species